GCUACUCUAGAAUGAGACUUGAUGAUUACACAUGGAACAGACUCAUUCACAACACAACUAAUUUAAGAGAUAUUUGUUUAUAUGGCAUGGACAUGUCUUUUAUCAGAGAGAGCUCUUUGUCAUUGUUGACCAAUUUGUCGUCCUCUUUGGUUUCUCUCCUUCUCUUAGACAAUAAAAUCCAAGGGAAAUUACCCGCCAACAUCCUCAAAUUGCCUAAUCUCCAAGAAAUAGAUCUGUCAUGGAAUCAAAACCUGAGAGGUGAACUUCCAAACUCCAACUGGACUACUCCAUUAAGAUUCUUGUCUCUCUCUCGAACUGCUUUCUCAGGAUACAUUUCAGAUUCCAUUGGUCAGUUGAAGUCUCUCAGCUCAUUAGAACUUUCGGAUUGUAAUUUUGAUGGAUUUAUUCCACCAUCAUUGUUUAAUCUUACUCAACUUUCUCUCUUAGAUUUAGCACGUAAUAACAAACUGCAAGGUAAUUUUCCAAAUUCAAUAUUUCAACUCCAAAAUCUUACUAUUUUGAGUUUGUCAUCAACGAACUUGAAUGGUGUAGUUGACUUUCACCAAUUUUCGAAGCUUAAAACUCUAAGUUCUUUGGAUCUUUCUUACAAUAGUUUGCUCUCACUAAAAUUUGAAAAUAAUUUUGAUUGUAUUUUAUCCAACCUUCAAUACUUAUCUUUAUCUUCAAGUAACUUAAGUAGUUUCCCAAAAUUCUUAGCACCACUGCAAAACCUGCAAGUUUUAGAUCUUUCUCAUAAUAGGAUUAGUGGAAGUAUUCCCAAAUGGUUGCAUGAGAACCUCUUGCACUCUUGGAAGAACAUUAGUUCCAUUGAUCUCAGUUUUAACAAGUUGCAAGGAGAUCUUCCGAUUCCACCUAAUGGCAUUGGAUUCUUUUCAGUCUCAAAUAAUCAGCUGAGUGGAGACAUUUCUUCAGCAUUGUGCAAUGCUAGCACCCUUUCUAUACUCAACUUGGCUCACAACAACUUGACCGGACUUAUUCCACAAUGCUUGGCAACAUUUCCUUCUCUUUGGGCGUUGGAUUUGCAAGACAACAACCUUUACGGUAACAUACCUGAUAACUUUUCUAAAGGAAAUGCCUUUAAGACUCUAAAGUUGAAUGGAAAUCACUUGAAGGGACCGUUACCACGGUCUUUGGCUCACUGUACAAACCUUGAAGUUUUGGACCUUGGAAAUAAUAACAUAGAGGAUACGUUCCCCUAUUGGUUAGAAAUUCUGACAACUUUACAGGUACUCAGUUUAAGGUCCAAUAAAUUUCAUGGUGUCAUCACUUCUUUCGGUACCAGAUUUCCAUUUCCCGUUUUGAAGAUUUUUGACAUUUCUAAUAAUUAUUUUAUCGGACCCUUGCCAGCGUCGUACAUCCAUAACUUUCAAGGAAUGAUGAAUGCCAUUGACAAUCAAAAUGGUUUGAAAUAUUUGGGUAAUAAUUACUCAUAUAUUGAUUCGAUAAUGAUUGUGAUGAAAGGACAUGACAUUGAGCUUGAGAGGAUAUUGACUAUUUUCACAAGCAUUGAUUUAUCAAAUAAUAUGUUUGAAGGAGAAGUACCCAAAGUUAUUGGAGAGUUGCAUUCUCUGAAAGGGCUUAACCUUUCACACAAUAGAAUCACUGGUACCAUUCCAUUAUCACUGGGUAAUUUAAACAAUUUGGAAUGGUUGGACCUCUCAUGGAAUCAAUUGAAUGGUGAGAUUCCCAUGUCUUUAACAAAUUUGAAUUUUUUGGCAGUCUUAAACCUUUCAGAAAACCAAUUUGAGGGAGUAAUACCUACAGGACGACAAUUUAACACAUUUGGAAAUGAUUCUUAUGUUGGAAAUCCAAUGCUUUGUGGAUUUCCAUUGUCAAAAUCCUGCAAUAAGGAUAAAGAAAGGCCACCUUGUUCAACACUUGAUAAAGAAGAAUCAGGAUUUGGAUGGAAAGUCAUUGUAGUGGGGUAUGCAUGUGGGAUGAUCUUUGGAAUAAUAUUGGGUUGUAAUGUUUUUUUCGCUGGAAAACUCCAAUGGCUUGCAAGGCUUGUUGAAGUUGUGUUAAAUGUGUGAGACUCACAAGAAUAAACAAGAAAAACCUUAUACCAAGGGUUGGAUGAGGAAUUAAUGUACUUUUAGUUUAAUAUGGUUGUUUUUUUAUGUGCCUAUAUGUUUUUUGUAGUUUUAAUUUCUCUUUACGUUAUCUUUUGCGAUGAAUUUUAUGUUAUGUUAUGCUCAACAUGUUGUAAUAUAUACCAAUGUUCUGUGGAUUUCCUUUGUCAAAAUCCUAUAAUGAGGAUAAAGAAAAGCCACAAUGUUCAACACUCGAUAAAGAAGAAUCAGGAUUUGGAUGGAAAGUCAUUGUAGUGAGAUAUGCACGUGGGAUGAGCUUUGGAAUAAUGUUGGGUUGUAAUGUUUUCUUUGUUGGAAAACUACAAUGGCUUGCAAGACUUGUUUGUGUUAAAUGUGAGACUUACAAGAACAAACAUAGCAAAUCAUGCAAAUGGUUGGAGAAGAAAUUAAUGCACUUUUAAUUUAAUAUGGUUAUUUUUUUACGUGCCCAUAUUUUUUUUUUGUAGUUUUAAUUUGUUUUUACUCUAUCUUAUUCAAUAAAUUUCAUAUUAGGUUCAACAUGACGUAAAAUGUCAAACCUUCAUAUGUAUAAAGGUAAAAUCUAACAUUCAAUCUUCGAUCAACAUUUUCCUGGAUGCAUAUAACCUAUAUGUUGACAUGAUUAUGCAAAAUUGUCUUUUUGCCUUUUGGAUUUAAUAUACUCAGAAUUGUGUCUUGUUAAUACAAAAGAUGUAUUUUAUUUGGGAGAGAAUUUGGGAGAGAAUCCCUCUUUCGAUCAAACCUAUGCACGAAUGAAGUGUGUGUAAAACAGGAGACGCUCUUCACUUUUGCCAGCAAAACGCUGCAUUUUAUUUACUCAGCAAGAAGGGCUUCGGCCCAUUCAUUUCAACAGCGCUGGCCCAUUUUUUGUAUAAACUCAUUUCUAUCUUGUUCCUGCAUUAACUAUAUAUGUAUAAUUAUGUGUACACGUAUUCAACUUUUUAAAUUGAGAAUGUGUAUAAAUAUUUUCCUUUAUAAAAUUGAAAUAGGAGUUUAAAUCUCAUUGAGUAAAAGUAAAAAAAAUCAAAUAUUAUAUAAAUCUACUAUUUUCAAAAAUAAAUAAAUAAAUAUAUAUAUAUAUAUAUAUAUAUAUAUAUAUAUAUAUAAAUAUAUAUAUAUAAUUAUAAGUUAAAAAAGAUAAAUAAUAGAAGUGAGCUAACCAUUUAAAACAUUUCAAAUAUGAAUUAAUUAAUAAUAGCAAUGAAACUCAAAUAAGAAAUCUAAUUGUAUUAAAAGUUACUUAAAAAAGAAGAAGAUACAAUUGUUUAUGAUCAAAGACCAUCUCCUAAAUGACAUUUUACUACAAUAAGGUAUAUGUAGAAUUAAUCUAUCUUAUAUUGAAUAUACACGUAGUAUUGUAUUUAUAAUAUAAAAAAUAUGGACUAAGCUCGAAUGUAAAUAAGAAUUAAUAAAUAAUUAACUAAAGAUAAAAGAUAAAAAUAACAUAAAGAUGAUAUAUUUAACACUUCCCACAAGAUAGUACAUUCAAACCCUAUGUACCAAGCUUAUUACUAAUACCACGCUAAUUUUGAUUUAAUGUCUCUAAUUCGCGGGAUUCUGCACAUUUUCUUAAUUAUAACUAAACAAAAAAAAUGUAGUUUGGUUAAAUCCAAUUUAUUCUUCGCAAUAAACAACUCACACACACACACUCCCUUUCCAAAAAAACCAGUAGACCUAACACUACACUAAAAUUUAUUGGAUUUGUUGCUAAAAUAUCGGUAUCAAACACAAACUUCGGCGGGCGGAUGGCCAGGAGCCCAAACAAUGGAAAGAAAAGUCGCAUGUGCUCAAAUUGGCACAAAGAGAAGUUGAUGCAAGGAGCUUCGGAAACAAAGUUGUUGGUUCAGUUGAAAGUUGACUCGAGAUUCCCUUUUUCCCUAGUUCUUUCAUUUUCUUUCUUUUUUUCGCUUUUCUGUCUUUUCCUUUCCCUAUAUAAACUACUUAGAUUAGGUAAUUACUGUUUGAAAAAGCUUUCUUAGAGGAUUCGACAGGCCGUGAGGUUUCUCGGUUCAACUUGUAAUUUCAGUUAUGUUAUUUCUUUUUGCAAAAUAUUAUGCUUCUUGUUCUUUGUAAUUUACUUUUUCUUGCAAUUUAGAUUUUCGACGCUAUUAUUCUCUGUCUUCUGCGAUAUCUGUUAUGUGUUAUUCAGAGCUUAUGGAAUUUAGGUUCGAGCACGCUUCAAAGAUAAGUCUCUUUCAUUCUAUUUUGCUUUGAUUCACUCUUAUGUUUCCAAUUCAACCUAUAUCCCUUUUCAUCUUUUUGAAAAAAUCAUGCAUUGUAACGCCCCAGCAACUUACAGGGACGACUGACUGUCCCCACACAUCAACACGAGGCUUUCUAGUGUGCUUUGUCAUCACUCACACUUUCCGAGAAAACUUCCCCGAAGGUCACCCAUCCUAAAUUACUCCAGGCUAAGCACGCUUAACCAUGAAAUUCUUAUGGGUCAGGCUACCAAAAAGCAAAUUUGUUUUUUGGUAGCGUAACCCAUAAGAACUUCAUGGUUAAGCGUGCUUAGCUUGGAGUAAUUUGAGAUGGGUGACCUUCUGGGAAGUUUUCCCGGAAAGUGUGUGAGUGAGGACAAAGCACACUAGAAAGCCUCGUGUUGAUGUGUGGGGACAUUCAGCAGUCCUUGUAAGUUGCCAGGGCGUUACAGAUUGUAUCAGAGCCUAGCCUCUCCUAGUACGGUGUGGUUCGAGGACGAACCAGAGCGGAAGCUGGUGGGCAUGUGACGCCCGGGCACUGACGAGGGCGAGGAGUGCGGCUCCUGGCAGGCUUCGAGUGGAAGGCGCACAUGGACGAAUCGAACAUACACCUGAAUGAGAGGGAUCUAGAGACUGUAUAGGUAUGAGACUAUACAAGAUAGCUUAAAGGAAUUGAUUUGGCUACUCAUAUCAACAAAUGCAUUUGCUUUUCGGUAGCCUAACCCAUAAGAACUUCAUGGUUAAGCGUGCUUAACCUGAAGUAAUUUGGGAUGGGUUCCCUAAGCUCUGAAUAACACAUAUCGCAGAAGAAAGAGAAUAAUAGAGUCGAAAAUCUAAAUUGCAAGAAAAAGUAAAUUACAAAGAACAAGAAGCAUAAUAUUUUGCAAAAAAAAAAGAGACUGUCGAAUCCUCUAAGAAAGCUUUUUCAAACAGUAAUUUGGAAAACCUAUUCUAAGUAGUUUAUAUAGGAAAAGGGAAAGACAGAAAAACGAAAAAAAGAAAGAAAAUGAAAGAACUAGAGAAAAGGGGAAGUCUCGAGUCAACUUUCAACUGAACCAACAACUUCGUUUUCGAAGCUCCUUGCAUCAAUUUCUCUUUCUACCGAUUUGAGCACAUGCGGCUUUUCUUUCCUUUGUUUGGGUCAUGGCCAUCUGCCGAAAGUUUACUUUAAAUACAUUUCAUCAAACUAACAUUGUUAUGUUGUUACUAAUUUACAAUUGAUUAAUUAAUUCUAUUUAUCUUUGAGCAUCCUUGAAUCAAUCAAGGUUUGUUUAGUUUACAUGUUAUAUGUUAUAUAUCUUUGUUAGUUGAACCACCGUUAGAAGUGAACUUUAAGCUUAACUCAACUAUACAAAACCGACUUGUAAGGUGAGGUUUGCAGUCACUUAUAUACACUUAAAUGGCCUCAUCUCUAGUCAAUGUGGGACUUCCAACAUUCAAAAUUAUAUAAAAUACCCUAAACUUCUACCUAUUUUGUUCUCUCUGCAAUGAAAUAAAAUUUAGAAUUAAGGUGGAUAUGAUUGGUGUUGUUAUUGUGAUGGGUAAUGAAAUUCCAAAACUAAAUUCAUUAUAUAAAAAAAUAUAUGAAGGACUGACUUUGUCAGAUGGUGGAGAUUUUCGCCACAAACUGUUAUUUUCUUGCUCAAUUACAUGUUGUCAAUAUUUCAAGAAUGAACAUAAAUCUUACUUUUAUUUUUGUUUUUGUUGGCAUCACAGAAAUCUAGUCUUAAAACAAUAUAUAUAUAUAUAUAUAUAUAUAUAUAUAUAUAUAUAUAUAUAUAUAUAAUUUUAGUAUAUUUUGUAUACAUAUCAUCUUCAAAAAUAUUGUAUAUUUAUUUUAGCAAUCUUGUAAGAAUAAUGGACAUCGAUAAUUUUGAUUUAAAUUUUUACGUAAAUUAGAAGUUGGAAAAUUGUGACGAUAUUUUUGUUCCUUUGCAAGUUUCUACAUGUAAGGAUAAGAGUUAGGACCACAUUCAUUCUAUAUUCACAGUGAGAACAAGUAUUAUUAAUAUUUUAAUUUUAGUUAUAUAUAUCACCACAUAUGAGGCUAAUAAAUGGUUAAUUAUGUAUUUCUUAGAAUUUUUUUUCUCUCAUAUUGUAUCACACUUGAGUAGGUAAACUCAAAUUAUAAAUUGAUGUAAUUGAACUUUUCGUGCUAAUAACGUGUUUACGAUUUUAUUCUACACUCUUUAUUCCAAAACUGACAUGUUAAGAUGGAUUAUUUAAUCAUGUUUCUUGUAAAGGUUUUGGUUCAUUAUCCCCUUGUAAGAAUAAAAAUCACUUUUGGAUGUUUAGAAGAAUCUCUUGGAGGUUGCUAGGGUGUUAGGAAGCUUUUUAAGUUCUCUUUCGGUCUUUUCCUUCAUUCAUGAUAUUUUUUCAUUUCUAUGUCAUUAUUUGAUUUCUAUGUUUAAUGUUUAUUUUGGUUUGACUAUCCAUAGCUUGAUAUUUGGUUCAUUGGAUGUUGGAAAACAUAUUUUAAACCUAUAACUAAAAUUGAAUACUUAAUGUAGCUUGUAUAUAGGGAUAGAACAUUAUUUGGUAGCAACCUUAAGACUCUUAAAUUUAAUUCAUGGUUGCUUGUUGAAGAUUCAAAAAAUUGAAACCAUAGAAAGUCAUUAGAAAUAAUAAGAUUUAAAUAAACUUGUGAGUUGAUUUUAACUUAAAUAUCAAAUUGAGAUGUUUGAAAAUGCAUGAAAAUGAAGUGAAUGAAAUAUAGUCUUAACAAUUAUAUAUACUCUGUUAAAUUUCUGUUAUAUAUCUUUAAUAAAAAUACAAAAAAAAAAGUCUCUUAGUGUUUUUGUAAACUUUUGUUGCUGUGAAGUGUGAGAAUUGUCAUUUGUUGCAAAAAUCCUUAUAAAAAGAAUUUUAGUUAUUAUUUACUAUGUGCAAUCCAUGUACUUACCAUUUUUUACUAACAAUAGUUCGAUAAGGUACAUAAAGAGUUCAAAAAGCUCCAUGAAAAACCCAUAUAACUUGAUGGAGAAUAUAUAUAUAUAAUUCAAAUAGUUUGAUAACACAUCUAAAAAGAUACAUAAAAAUAAAUUACAAUUAUGUAAAUAUCAAAUUAGAGUACCACAUAACACUUAUAUAUAAAAGUCAAAAAAAUGAUGAAAUGCGUUAGAUUGAAUGGAAUUUAUGAUUUCAUUUUCUAAAAUGUAAUAUACCAUUUGAACAAAAUUAAGAAAAAAAAAGUGUAAUCACAUUUAUCAUAGGGAAAAAAUACGUUAGAGAUCAAAAUAAAUUUGAUAGAUAUUGAACAAGUUAAACAAUUAAGAGAGAGAAUAUUUUUGUUUUUUUGUUUUUUUUAAAAUAAAGAUUCUUUAAAUGAAACAAAACACUAAUGGUUAAAAGGGAAUAGAUAAUGAGUUUUUUUAUGUUAUCUAAUAAACUGAGGAUUUAUGUAAUUAAACAUUUGAAAUUGAGAGCUAAAAAAUAAAUAAAUAAAAACAUUAAAAAAGGUGCAUCAAUAGUAAAACAUGUAUUCUAUACAUUAUUUAAUUCAAUGAUGUUGAUGUUUGUAUUUCUUUAAAUAUGUUAUACCAUUUCAAAGAAACCACAUAAAGAGAAAAUAUAUAUUUAAGAUUGUGAUAAAACGAGAAACACCGUGAAAAUACGAGUGAGCUUUACGAAUUUUUAAUCAAUCAAACAAUUAAGAGAGAAUAAAAAGAAUUAUAGUAAACAAAAAUUACAAAACUAAAAAUAAAAUAAAAUAAUAAAUAUAAGUUGUUUAAAUUACCUAUAAAUUAUAAGUAUUUUAGUAUUAUAAUAAUUAUGUGUAUGAGGAUGGAGACACGUGUGAAGAGAGAGACAUGUGGAUAUCAUUUCCAAUAAGUAGAUAUGUACUUGAUUUUAUUAUUCUAGACAAAACUUAAAUAAGAAGAAAACUCAAAAUUGAGAUGAGUGUAUGUAUCAUUUCGUACACUUAAAACCUCUAAAUUCUACAUUUAUAUUUCGUGUUAAACAUAUUAGAUUAUAAAUAGUCAUAUAUUCUCUUCAUAAAUAAUUUUUUAUAUAAUUGGAUUUUAUAGAGACUUUAAAGCUAUUUAAAAAGUAGAGUUUUCUGUGUUGAGAAGAUAAUAAAAAUAAAAAAUAAAUAAGCAGAAGAAAAAUCCAUAUCAAAAUUUUCCUGUAUAUUUUUAUCAUUAACCUUGCUUAAUAAAAUUAUAUAAAUAUCUAUUAUUUAAUUAAACUUUUUGUUUUGUUUUAAGAACACUCUAUUCAACUGUUUUUUUUUUAAACUUAAUUUGAAGUGCCUGAAAAUAAAUUUGAUUUGAGAUAAAGUUUAUGAUUUUGGAUAUCCUAUUCUCGUAGGAAUGGUAAAGAUUGAUGUUUUUUUUUUUUUUUUUUUUUUUUUUUUUUUUUUUUUUUUUUUUUACAAUUUUUUUUUUUUUUGCAAGAUUCAUAAACUUUUGCUACGAUAUUUUUUUAUUUUGAAAGAUUGAUGAUUUAAUUUUUAACUUUUGUUACGAUACUUUUUUAAAGAUUCAUAAACUUUAACGUAAAAUAGAAGUUGGAAAAUUGUGACAUAGUCAGUUGUCAUUUGUAUUAGAAAGACUGACUUUAGACCUUUAAAUGGGUGCAAGACUUGGAAUUUUCAUACACAAGACUUGCUUUUCUUUUUGGAAAUUGGUAGGCAUCUUCCCCAGAUUAAGACUUCAAUAUAAAAUAGGAAAAAUAAAAAAAUUAAUAUGAGAAAUUUCAGAACAUAAAAAUUGAGGAACUAGUUCAAUGAUAUACAAAUUAAAUUAAGUAUUAUUAAUUUUCCUGUAAAUUAAACAAAUAUCAUAUAAAAAAUUACAAUAAUAAAAAAGAAGAGUGGCUAUAGCAAUGUCUGCAGCCGAUGAGAUUCUUAUAUAUAGAUUACACUCAAUGAAUUGGCUGCAAUCAAAUCCAUAUUUCUUCGGUAUAAGAAAAAUGGGAUGGGUUCGACUUUCCUACUUCUUGAUCUUUCAUUGUUUGCUUCUUCAUUUCCCUUCUUACAAUUGUUUGUUGUGCAACCCUCGUGACAAAUCUGCCUUACUACAAUUCAAAAACUCAUUUCUUACUAACAUUUCAUCUUAUGUUGCUCUGUUUACAGAAGAUCUUUGUUCCUCGUAUUCUUCAAAUAUGAAAUCUUGGAAUAACUUGACAGAUUGUUGUGGGUGGGAUGGGGUCACGUGUGACAUCAGAUCAGGUUAUGUGAUCGGUCUCAACUUUUCCUGCAUUGAUCUUAGAGGUGAGCUACUUGGUCCUAAUAGUUCAAUUUUCAGUCUAAGACACCUUCAACAACUUACUAUUGCUUUUAGUGACUUUUCUGGAUCUUCGAUACACUCUACAAUCGGUGACCUUGUCAACCUCACCCAUCUAACUUUACUUAACUUUGGAAUGACUGGUGAUGUUCCCUCCACAAUCUCCCACUUGUCAAAGUUAGAAUAUCUUCUUAUAGGUAGCAUCAACUCGUUACUUAAUGAUCCCAUCAAAAGCUACUCCAAAAUGAGACUUGAUGAUUACACAUGGAACAGACUCAUUCACAACGCAACUAAUUUGAGAGAGAUUUAUUUGGAUGAAGUGAACAUGUCUUCUGUCGGAGAGAGCUCUUUGUCAUUGUUGACCAAUCUAUCAUCCUCUUUGCUUUCUCUCGUUCUCUAUGACACCCAAAUCAAAGGGAAAUUGCCCACGGCCAUCCUCCGCUUACCCAAUCUUCAAGAAAUAGAUCUGUCAUUCAAUGAAAACGUGAGAGGUGAACUUCCAAACUCCAACUGGACUACUCCACUAAUAAUUUUAAUUCUCCGUCAUACUGCUUUCUCAGGAUACAUUCCCGAUUCUAUUGGUCACUUAAAGUCUCUUUACAUACUACAACUUAACAGUUGCAAUUUUCAUGGAUUUAUUCCACCAUCAUUAUUUAAUCUUACUCAACUUUCUCAUUUAGAUUUAUCAAAUAAUAAAUUAGUUGGCCCAAUUCCAACCCAAAUCACCACACUUUCUGAAUUAUUGAUCCUAAAUUUGAAUGAUAACAUAUUAAACGGAUCAAUUCCUCGUUGGUGUUACUUUUUGCCUUCCUUAUCGUUCUUGUAUCUUAGAAACAACCAGUUCACAGGGUCAAUUGGUGAAUUCUCAACUAAUUCUUUGCAAUAUUUGUCUCUUUCUAAUAACAAACUGCAAGGUAAUUUUCCAAAUUCAAUAUUUCAACUCCAAAAUCUUACUUUUUUAAAUUUGUCAUCAAAUGAUUUGAGUGGUGUCGUGGACUUUCAUCAAUUUUCAAAGCUUAAAACUAUUUUUUAUUUGGAUCUUUCUCACAAUAGUUUGCUCUCACUAAAAUUUGAAAAUAAUUUUGAUUGUAUCUUACCCAACCUUCAAUACUUAUUUUUAUCUUCAAGUAACGUAAGUAGUUUCCCAAAAUUCAUAGCACCAAAUCUGGAAGAUUUAGAUCUUUCUCAUAACAGAAUUCGUGGAAGCAUUCCCAAAUGGUUUCAUGAGAACC
rnacentral:lncRNA from 1 species